GCUACAGUUAGGGCUUCCCAAGUCACGGCCACACGUUUUGAAUCUCUUACUGUCACCGAGAGGCCAACAUCCUGCCACCUUGUUCUGGUGGCCACAAAACCCCCUUGGCCCAAAUCAUAGGUAGAGCCUCUCACCGCCACUUGGCAAUAGCAGGGCCUCAUCUGUCACUUGGUCCUAGGUUAAUUCUUCGCCUCGGCACUAGCUAGCAGGCCAGUUCUCCGGAGGUCUCAUCCCCACCUCUACGACAACUUACUUAUCCAAAUCAUUACUUCUUUUCAGAAUGUCAC